GGGUAGUUUGACUGGGGCGGUCGCCUCCUAAAGCGUAACGGAGGCGCGCGAAGGUUGGCUCAGAGCGGUCGGAAAUCGCUCGUUGAGUGCAAUGGCAUAAGCCAGCCUGACUGCGAGACUGACAAGUCGAGCAGAGUCGAAAGACGGCCAUAGUGAUCCGGUGGUCCCGCAUGGAAGGGCCAUCGCUCAACGGAUAAAAGGUACGCCGGGGAUAACAGGCUGAUACUGCCCAAGAGUCCAUAUCGACGGCAGUGUUUGGCACCUCGAUGUCGGCUCAUCUCAUCCUGGGGCUGGAGCAGGUCCCAAGGGUACGGCUGUUCGCCGUUUAAAGAGGUACGUGAGCUGGGUUUAGAACGUCGUGAGACAGUUCGGUCCCUAUCUUCCGUGGGUGUAGGAUAUUUGAGAAGAGUUGCCCCUAGUACGAGAGGACCGGGGUGAACGAUCCACUGGUGGACCAGUUGUCAUGCCAAUGGCAGUGCUGGGUAGCUAUGAUCGGAAAGGAUAACCGCUGAAGGCAUCUAAGCGGGAAGCCCCCCUCAAAACAAGGUAUCCCUGAGGGCCGUGGUAGACCACCACGUCGAUAGGCCGGAGAUGUAAGCGCAGUAAUGCGUUCAGUUGAC
rnacentral:rRNA from 1 species